rnacentral:rRNA from 1 species
UACGGAGGGACUAGCGUUGUUCGGAAUACUGGGCGUAAAGCGCACGUAGGCGGAUUUGUAAGUCAGGGUGAAAUCCCGGGGCUCAACCUCGGAACUGCCUUUGAUACUGCAAAUCUCGAGUCCGGAAGAGGUGAGUGGAAUUCCUAGUGUAGAGGUGAAAUUCGUAGAUAUUAGGAAGAACACCAGUGGCGAAGGCGGCUCACCUGGUCCGGUACUGACGCUGAGGUGCGAAAGCGUGGGGAGCA